AGGUUUCCUGGGCAAGGCUAAUCCUCCCAGGGUCAGUCGGGGGCUAAGGCGAGGCCGGAAGGCGUAGCCGACGCGCAGCAGGCAGACAUUCCUGCACCGCGCACGCGGCGCUACGACCGACGGGGCGACGGAUGGGGGUGGCUCGGCGGGGUUCUGGACGUCCCCGUGAUGGAGCGCGGCCCGCGGACCAGGGAAAUCCGGUCCGCACGAGGGCGAGGCUCCGGACGAAGCGAUUGAGCGAAGCGAGUGAGCCCGAGGUCCCUAGAAAAACCCCUAGGCAGGCGCGUGCGCGCCCGUACCGCAAACCGACACAGGUGGGUGGGUAGAACAUACCGAGGCGAUCGGGUCAACCAUGGUCAAGGAACUCGGCACAAUGGCCCCGUAACUUCGGGAGAAGGGGUGCCCGCGCGUACGUGAACGGACUUGCUCCGGGAGCGGAGGCGGGCCGCAGUGGAGAGGCCCAAGCGACUGUUUACCAAAAACACAGGACUCUGCAGAAGCCGCAAGGCGACGUAUAGGGUCUGACGCCUGCCCGGUGCCGGAAGGUCACGCGGAGGAGUUAGCGCAUCGCGCGAAGCCCCGAAGCCAAGCCCCGGUAAACGGCGGCCGUAACUAUAACGGUCCUAAGGUAGCGAAAUUCCUUGUCGGGUAAGUUCCGACCUGCACGAAAGGCGCAACGACUUGGGCGCUGUCUCGACCAUGGACCCGGUGAAAUUGCACUGGUCGUGAAGAUGCGACUUACCCGCGGAAGGACGGAAAGACCCCGUGAACCUUCACUGCAGCUUGGCAUUGGCCGCUGGUCCCGCGUGUAGAGGAUAGGCAGGAGGCGAAGAUCCGGAGGCGCCAGCCCCCGGGGAGCCGCCCUUGGAAUACUGCCCUCGCGCGACCGGCGUCCUAACCCGAGGCCGUCAACCGGCUCGGGGACCGCGCCAGGCGGGCAGUUUGACUGGGGCGGUCGCCUCCUAAAGGGUAACGGAGGCGCGCGAAGGUCCGCUCGGGACGGUCGGCAACCGUCCUUUUGAAUGCAAGAGUACAAGCGGGCUUGACUGCGAGGCCCACAAGCCGAGCAGGUGCGAAAGCAGGCUCUAGUGAUCCGGCGGCCCCGAGUGGGUGGGCCGUCGCUCAACGGAUAAAAGGUACUCCGGGGAUAACAGGCUGAUCUUGCCCAAGAGUCCACAUCGACGGCAAGGUUUGGCACCUCGAUGUCGGCUCAUCGCAUCCUGGGGCUGGAGCAGGUCCCAAGGGUACGGCUGUUCGCCGUUUAAAGCGGUACGCGAGCUGGGUUCAGAACGUCGUGAGACAGUUCGGUCCCUAUCCUCCGUGGGCGCAGGAGAAUCGAUGGAGGCUGCCCCCAGUACGAGAGGACCGGGGUGGACGCACCUCCGGUGAACCGGUUGUCGACCAACGGCACGGCCGGGUAGCCGCGUGCGGCGCGGAUAACCGCUGAAGGCAUCUAAGCGGGAAGCCGUUCCAGGGAUUAGUUCUCCUUCCGGUAAGGGCCCAGGUAGACUACCUGGUCGAUAGACGGCAGGUGCAAGGCUGGCGACAGCCUCAGCCGAGCCGCACUAAUCGCCCGAGCUCUUCCGGAA
rnacentral:rRNA from 1 species